ensembl:lncRNA OIP5-AS1 OIP5 antisense RNA 1
GGGCGGGGCUUGUGGGAACGGCCCACCGCAGGGUUGGCCACCUUGAGAAGCUGCGAAGAUGGCGGAGUAAGGCGUGCCGCUGCAAACUGGCCUCUGGGCCGGGGGCGAGCAGCCCCCGGGAGGCCGAGUGCAUCUGUUGGACCGUGCGAGGAGAAGAAAAAAAAUAUCGGCCAGAGGAGAGGAACUAACCGAACAUUCUUCCUCCCUACCUUAUAGAGGGGAGUGGUCAUCUACACUAAAGCAAAGUGUUAGGCGCGUCCGUGCGAAGAGACCACCAAACAGGCUUUGUGUUCCUUAUCACAGGAAGAAAAUUUUCCUUGACCUUUAGGUGCUUUUAUAUUCAUCUCAAAAACAAAAUUCUGAACUCAGGACUUGGCAAAGACGGGGUUUCACCAUGUUGGCCAGGCUGGUCUUGAACUCCGGACCUGGUGAUCCACCCACUUCGGCUUCCCGAAGUGCUGGGUUUACAGAUGUGUCUCUAUGUUGUCUCCUAGAGUGGGUAGUCCUGCUUCUUUUACCCAGUUACUUUCCCGUUUUUGAAAUGUGGCUAUCACUUCUCUACACAUUACCUCCAUGAUUUGGAAUGGAAAAGGCCACUUUUCUUUUUGUUCUGCCUCUCAAAUUCAACACAGAGGAGCUCCUAGGAUUCCAGUUAUCCUGCUAACAUCUCCAGGAAGAAAGAAGCAACUCACAUGGGUCUUUUGCUGUUUGCUUAAUUAUAAAGACAUCAUUUUGCAAGCAGAAGGCUGAGUUUCAUUUGAAACAGGUGCUUAGGUGGUGGUAUUUGUGAAUACUUUUCAUUCCAAGCAAGAAGACUAAAGAAGUAGCAAGUAUGAAUGACUUCAGGGUUUAAAAAAAAUGUCUUCCAGUUUCAGCCACUACCAUGAUAAGCACAGUUGAGACUGCAGCAGUAAAUUCCAAAUAUGUGUUUCUAAUUUGACGUGAAAGAUACUAAAAAUUUAUAUUUGUAUAUUUAAAUCCUGGCUCAUCCUGUGACAUAGAUUUACUGAAUAGGAACAAAGGCCCAAUUUUAAACAAAAACCUAGGCCGGGUGUGGUGGCUCACACCUGUAAUCCCAACACUUUGGGAGGCCAAGGCAGGCAAAUCACCUGAGGUUGGGAGUUUGAGACCAGCCUGACCAACAUGGAGAAACCCCAUCUCUACUAAAAAUAGAAAAUUAGCCAGGUGUGGUGGUAGAUACGUGUAAUCCCAGCUACUCGUGAGGCUGAGGCAGGAGAAUUGCUUGAAUCCGGGAGGCGGAGGUUGCAGUGAACUGAGAUUGCACCACUGCACUCCAGCCUGGGCGACAGAGUGAGACUCCGUCUCAGAAAAAUAAAAAACAACUUUGGACAUAGAGGAGUUGGGGGCAGAGGGGGGAGGAUGAGAGAAUUUUCCAUGUAACUCCUUUUCCUUAAGAAAAAGAAGCAAAAAUCCCUCAUGCAGUGCCAUCUGACUUUAUGGUGUUUCACAUUAUAUAGUUACUUUUUUUAAUAAACGCAUAAGAUUAACUCUUCCUGCAACCCAAGGUGGAUACUUGGAUGUUUGAUUUUUAUUUAUUUAUUUAUUUAUUUUUUGAGGCAGUCUCUCUCUGUUGCCCAGGCUGGAGUGAUGCGUGAUUUCUGCUCACUGCAGUCUCUCCCACCCGGGUUCAAGCGAUUCUCCUGCCUCAGCCUCCCAAGUAGCUAGGAUUACAGGCGCGCACCACCACGCUCAGCCUGAUUUCUAGGCUGAAAAGGCUGGGACUCAGGUACUUUCCCCAGUUGGGACUGAACUUUCUCAUCAGAGAAUGGGCCUCAGAAGCAAUGUUCCCAAACUUGUGGUUGGGUCAUCGUGGAAAAGAAACCUCAAAUAAGAAAAAUAAUUACAAUAAGAAAUGGAUUUUCUUUUUUCCCACAACAGUUAUACAUUAUAAAGAACAGACUGUCGUAGAAAACUGUCUUUGCUUCCAAAUCAGCAGAGGACCAUUGUAUGUAUUGUCAGGUCUUUAUAUAAGAGUGAAACCUUUAUUUAUGCUUCUUGUGAGUAGAGAAUAAAUUUUAAAACUAAUUAGAUGAAAUUAAGAACAGAGUAUUGGAACAUCUCUGUGUUUUCCGGAAUGUUUACUCAGGUCCAUGAAUGCUGUGAUGCUGGGAACUUAGGGAAGAUUCACCAAAAUUUGAGAGUGAUAAAAAUGGCCUAAAAUGGGAAAUGGUGAGCACUCUUAUUAUUAGUGAGAUUGGUCAAUCAGCCCAUUUGAAAUGGGUAAAAAAUACUUUCAGUAAAAUAAUUACAUAUUAUAUAUAAAAUAUUUCUUUUUUUGAGGGCAGCUACUGAGUGAUAAAAGCAUAGUAGAAAUCACUUUGGUUAAAAGUAACUCAAAUUUUUCUCUUAAGUAAUCUACCAACUUCCUGAUGUUUUUCUUUAAUAUUUUGGAACUGUUCAAGACAGAAUGGAGCCUACAUAUAUGGUGUUCCACUAGUAUGUUGAAAAUGUCAUAUCAUGGAGAAUGGAGACACCUUCCAGGUGUCUGUUAAACCCAUCUUCUCUGUGUACUUCUGGCAUCUUUUUUGGUAGGAUCAUUUGGCAGGGGGUAGAGUACCUGUACUUUUGGCACCAUUGAAACCAGCUCUGGCCCACUUGUUUGAAUAGCUAUCAGACUCAGCGUCUCUAUAUGCUUUAUAUACAGUUGAGAGAACCAGUGUUUAAUGCUCUUGAAAUUGUAUCUUCCAUGCUUCAGACCAGAUGCAUUUAACAAAAUGGAUAUAUUCCAGCUGUAGUUGCCCAGUGUUUACUUAACACAUCUACAUUUUUUUCUUGUCUAUUUUGGUCCCCUUGAUAGGAAAAGCUAUAAUUUUAGGCAGGACUAUACGUCGAUUUGUAGCCAUGCUUCCUUCCUUUCCCUUGCUCAUCCAUGUUAGCUGGCAGUUUUUCUUUUGAAAAGUUAAAACCGGGAUAUGUGCAAUAGAAAUAUAUAUAUAUAUAUGUAUAUUUUAAUACUUGUGGACAAAUGUUACAAGUUGUUUAAGAACAACAAAAUCACCAAUGUCUUCCAUUUUGAGAUGUGUAUAGUUUUGUAAGCAUUAGUGCUUGGUAGCAUAUUGUAGUGCCAUGUUAGGGGUUAGUGCAUGAGUCUAGUGAUUUUAAACUUCAGGAUGAAUUAUUGAUAAUAACAAAUAGUGUAAAAAGAGUGGAAAAUCUAAACCUUUUCUUUUUCCAUAAUGUCUAAAUCUGUUAUAUUCUUCCUGGGGAAAAGAGAUUAAGGCCCAAAAGACUCAUUUAUGAAUAGAAAUGUGGGGUCAAAAUCUGAGAUACUAUAUUUGAGGACAUUUCAGCUUUCCAUAAGGUAUCUGGAAACCAGCUGUCUUUGUGUCUUAUGAAACCUCAAGUCAAAAUGAGACCGCAUUUAAUUAUUCUGCUUUGCUCUUUUUUUGGGGUGGGGGGGAGAUAGAGUUUCACUCUGUCACCCAGGCUGGAGUGCAGUGGCACAAUCUUUGCUCACUGUAACCUCUGCCUCUUGGGUUCAAGUGAUUCUCGUGCCCCAGCCUCCCGAGUAGCUGGGACUACAGGCACGUGCCACCACGCCCAGCUAAUUUUUAUAUUUUUAGUAGAGACGGGGUUUUGCUGUGUUGGCCAGGCUGGUCUCAAACUCCUGACCUCAAGUAAUCCACCUGGCCUGCUCUUUUCAUGUCUUAACAUGGCAUGUCUUUUAGUUUCAUUAUUUUCCUACUCCUUGUAUGUCAAGAAAUUACAUUUUGCAUGUCUUAUGGAGAUGCUGUUAAUUGCUUCAGUGAGUGCUUUUCUAAUCUGCAGACCAUUUACAUUUCCUGUUUGCAGCAUGCUGUGUGCAAACACUCAGUAAUUUGGAGUAUUCAAUUAUUUGUUAGGGCUCUUCCUAUUUCCAAAUGUGCUGAAUUGUCUAUUGAUGGGAUUUUCAGAUCUUUUCAUGAGAACUGGAAAUGUAGCUGGGUGGCACCUACCUAGGUUGCUACGUAGUGAGUAGACUUUCUCUUGGGUAUAGUAAGCCUCAGACAGCUUUCACUUUUAUCUACUUUACUUGUGGAAAUAAAACAGUCAUUUUGUUCUGAAAGAAUAAGAUAGCUUUCUGUAGAGAAGGAAUUCCUACCUCUAAAAGCUGCCUUGAGAACUCAGAACUGGCAGUUUUCUGAGGUGAUUUUUAAAUUUCAGUAUUAGGGAGAGUCCAGCAUUUGCUGACACAGAUUCUACAUAACUAAUGUAUGAUAGCAAAUGCAAAACUAUUAUAAUGUGGUGUAUCUUGCGCAUACACAGGUUAGAACAAGUAGACUCUGGCAGCAGAUCUCCAGAGACCCAAGUUUAGGUUCUCAUAGUGUAUUUGAAGUAGUUAUACUCCUGGCUUAAGUAGUUUAGUGCCUGGGAGAAUCCAUUACUGAAAA